rnacentral:rRNA from 1 species
UACGUAGGGUGCGAGCGUUAAUCGGAAUUACUGGGCGUAAAGCGUGCGCAGGCGGUUUUGUAAGCCAGAUGUGAAAUCCCCGGGCUUAACCUGGGAAUGGCAUUUGGGACUGCAAGGCUCGAGUGCGGCAGAGGAGACUGGAAUUCCUGGUGUAGCAGUGAAAUGCGUAGAUAUCAGGAGGAACACCGAUGGCGAAGGCAGGUCUCUGGGCCAACACUGACGCUCAGGCACGAAAGCGUGGGGAGCAAACAGG